GACGAACGCUGGCGGCGUGCUUAACACAUGCAAGUCGAACGGAAAGGCCCUGCUUUUGUGGGGUGCUCGAGUGGCGAACGGGUGAGUAACACGUGAGUAACCUGCCCUUGACUUUGGGAUAACUUCAGGAAACUGGGGCUAAUACCGGAUAGGAGCUCCUGCUGCAUGGUGGGGGUUGGAAAGUUUCGGCGGUUGGGGAUGGACUCGCGGCUUAUCAGCUUGUUGGUGGGGUAGUGGCUUACCAAGGCUUUGACGGGUAGCCGGCCUGAGAGGGUGACCGGCCACAUUGGGCCUGAGAUACGGCCCAGACUCCUACGGGAGGCAGCGGUGGGGAAUCUUGCACAAUGGGCGGAAGCCUGAUGCAGCAACGCCGCGUGCGGGAUGACGGCCUUCGGGUUGUAAACCGCUUUCGCCUGUGACGAAGCGUGAGUGACGGUAAUGGGUAAAGAAGCACCGGCUAACUACGUG
rnacentral:rRNA from 1 species